AGUGAACGCUGGCGGUAGGCCUAACGCAUGCAAGUCGAACGGCAGCACAGUAAGAGCUUGCUCUUACGGGUGGCGAGUGGCGGACGGGUGAGGAAUACAUCGGAAUCUACUUUUUCGUGGGGGAUAACGUAGGGAAACUUACGCUAAUACCGCAUACGACCUACGGGUGAAAGCAGGGGAUCUUCGGACCUUGCGCGAUUGAAUGAGCCGAUGUCGGAUUAGCUAGUUGGCGGGGUAAAGGCCCACCAAGGCGACGAUCCGUAGCUGGUCUGAGAGGAUGAUCAGCCACACUGGAACUGAGACACGGACCAGACUCCUACGGGAGGCAGCAGUGGGGAAUAUUGGACAAAGGGCGCAAGCCUGAUCCAGCCAUACCGCGUGGGUGAAGAAGGCCUUCGGGUUGUAAAGCCCUUUUGUUGGGAAAGAAAAGCAGCAGGUUAAUACCCCGCUGUUCUGACGGUACCCAAAGAAUAAGCACCGGCUAACUUCGUG
rnacentral:rRNA from 1 species